rnacentral:rRNA from 1 species
GACGUAGGGCGCGAGCGUUGUCCGGAUUUAUUGGGCGUAAAGAGCUCGUAGGCGGCUUGUUGCGUCGGCUGUGAAAACCCAUGGCUCAACCGUGGGCUUGCAGCCGAUACGGGCAGGCUAGAGUUCGGUAGGGGAGACUGGAAUUCCUGGUGUAGCGGUGAAAUGCGCAGAUAUCAGGAGGAACACCGGUGGCGAAGGCGGCUCACUGGCCCGGUACUGACGCUGAGGUGCGAAAGCGUGGGGAGCAAACAGG